rnacentral:rRNA from 1 species
AUUGAACGCUGGCGGCAGGCCUAACACAUGCAAGUCGAACGGUAACAGGAAGAAGCUUGCUUCUUUGCUGACGAGUGGCGGACGGGUGAGUAAUGUCUGGGAAACUGCCUGAUGGAGGGGGAUAACUACUGGAAACGGUAGCUAAUACCGCAUAACGUCGCAAGACCAAAGAGGGGGACCUUCGGGCCUCUUGCCAUCGGAUGUGCCCAGAUGGGAUUAGCUAGUAGGUGGGGUAACGGCUCACCUAGGCGACGAUCCCUAGCUGGUCUGAGAGGAUGACCAGCCACACUGGAACUGAGACACGGUCCAGACUCCUACGGGAGGCAGCAGUGGGGAAUAUUGCACAAUGGGCGCAAGCCUGAAGCAGCCAUGCCGCGUGUAUGAAGAAGGCCUUCGGGUUGUAAAGUACUUUCAGCGGGGAGGAAGGGAGUAAAGUUAAUACCUUUGCUCAUUGACGUUACCCGCAGAAGAAGCACCGGCUAACUCCGUG